UCGAAAUUACUGAACAUCAUCCUAAGCUUUCCUCACACUAAUAAUUAAUAUUAAUGAAUAAUUAAUUUAGAAUGGCAGAAUUGAAUUUGUGUGAUUAGUCCGCAAGCAUGAGAUGGACUUGAGCCACUUGUGAUCGAAGUGGCUCAACGACCCACUCCUCCUUAUAGUAAUAUCUGUGGAGGAAGAUGAAAACGACGUCGCACCCGAACAAUUAGUCAUCUGCAGAACAAUCACCACAACCGACGGAUCCAUCGACAGCGACCGCUUCAGCCGCGCCGAUGACGACCUCCGCUCCAUCGGCUUCAUCAACGACGCGCAAUUACGGAGCAAACAAACCGAUUGCCCCACCGAAAACGGCUCAACGCUACUGCUCUCGCCACGAUUAAUUGGAUCCACGGCUAGAUCUGGAGAUGCCGGUGCCGAAUCUGUUUCCUGGCGGAGCACCCGCAUCCGGCAGAGCGGACAGCUGGUGUGCGUCGCGAACCACUGGUCGAUGCAGGAAACAUGGAAGGCGUGUGUGCAUUUAGGCAGCAGACGCACGGAGUCCUCGUCCUCAAAUUCCCCCAAGCACACCACGCAUUCUCCUCCCUGAUUGACGCCGCGGCGGCGCUUCCAUACGGAGAAGGCGAGGAUCGGAAUCGAUUUGACGAAUUUCUCGUCGACGCCGGUCGGAGGCGGCGGUUGUGCCGGCGCGGCGCUUUAUGCAGUAGUUGACGAGCAAGAGAUGGUAGGUCAUUAUAGCGAUAACUGUGGCAACUAUGCCGAGCAUAGAUAUGAGUAAGGGAUUGAAGAAAGAAGCGUUAGUGGCACUUUGUACCGUAGACGGUGAGCUCAAGCCCUCCAUCGUUCAUCACAUGUACUGUACGGAAAUUUCCAGUCCAGAUCCAUCGAUCGAGCUUAGUUUAUCUUAGAGAAAGAGAGAGACAGUGGAAAUAUACAAAACAAAUGGGCUGCCACCACUAUUUCAAUUGCUGUUAAUUGAAAAUUGGGUUAAUCAUUAUCAUAACCUUUUUCAAAAGAUUUAGUAUUAGGCCAACAUGGAUACACCCAACCCAAUAGACUAUGGCAGCCAAAGCAGGAAAAAAGGUCUGCUCCUUCUCCUUAUUUAUAAAAUUACUAGUAAAUAGAAAAUCAUCCAUUGAAAUUGCUUUUUCUUGUAAUAAAUCCUCUUCUUUUACCGAGUUGUCUCUUUUUAUUUUUCAUCUUUAAAUGGAGAAUAGAAAAAAUGAAAUGAUGCUGUUAGUAUUAUUGAUUGCCA